rnacentral:rRNA from 1 species
AACGAACGCUGGCGGCAGGCUUAACACAUGCAAGUCGAGCGCCCCGCAAGGGGAGCGGCAGACGGGUGAGUAACGCGUGGGAAUCUACCCUUUUCUACGGAAUAACGCAGGGAAACUUGUGCUAAUACCGUAUACGCCCUUCGGGGGAAAGAUUUAUCGGGAAAGGAUGAGCCCGCGUUGGAUUAGCUAGUUGGUGGGGU